rnacentral:rRNA from 1 species
AUUGAACGCUGGCGGCAGGCCUAACACAUGCAAGUCGAGCGGAUGAAGGGAGCUUGCUCCUGGAUUCAGCGGCGGACGGGUGAGUAAUGCCUAGGAAUCUACCUGGUAGUGGGGGAUAACGUCCGGAAACGGGCGCUAAUACCGCAUACGUCCUGAGGGAGAAAGUGGGGGAUCUUCGGACCUCACGCUAUCAGAUGAGCCUAGGUCGGAUUAGCUAGUUGGUGGGGUAAAGGCCUACCAAGGCGACGAUCCGUAACUGGUCUGAGAGGAUGAUCAGUCACACUGGAACUGAGACACGGUCCAGACUCCUACGGGAGGCAGCAGUGGGGAAUAUUGGACGAUGGGCGAAAGCCUGAUCCAGCCAUGCCGCGUGUGUGAAGAAGGUCUUCGGAUUGUAAAGCACUUUAAGUUGGGGGGAAGGGCAGUAAGUUAAUACCUUGCUGUUUUGACGUUACCAACAGAAUAAGCACCGGCUAACUUCGUG